UAAGAGGUCCCGCCUGCCCUGUGACUUAAGGUUUAACGGCCGCGGUAUUUUGACCGUGCAAAGGUAGCGCAAUCACUUGUCUUUUAAAUGGAGACCUGUAUGAAUGGCACGACGAGGGCUUAACUGUCUCCUUCCUCCAGUCAAUGAAAUUGAUCUCCCCGUGCAGAAGCGGGGAUACCCCCAUAAGACGAGAAGACCCUGUGGAGCUUUAGACUUACGGCAGGACCAUGUCAAGCACCCCUGGCUAACGGCCUAAACUAAUUGGCUCCCUCCUACAUGUCUUUGGUUGGGGCGACCGCGGGGAAAUAAAAAACCCCCAUGUGGAAUGGGAGCACCUCUACUCCUACAACCAAGAGCCACAGCUCUAGGUAACAGAAUUUCUGACCAGUCAGAUCCGGCAUAGCCGAUCAACGGACCGAGUUACCCCAGGGAUAACAGCGCAAUCCUCUUCUAGAGCCCAUAUCGACAAGGGGGUUUACGACCUCGAUGUUGGAUCAGGACAUCCUAAUGGUGCAGCCGCUAUUAAGGGUUCGUUUGUUCAACGAUUAA
rnacentral:rRNA from 1 species